AAGCUUUCAUAUCCCUGUGAAGAAGACGCAAUAGUCACGCACAAACACUUUUCUAGGGUUCCAACACUUUCUUCUGCAAUUUCAACAACACCGCGUAGCUCACAUAGCUAGCUGCCUCUCAUGAAUUCUCCUCCGGCAAAGUCUCCGCAUUCAAAGGCAGCUCCAACGUCGCUGAUGGUCCUCCUCUUUGAACUCAUCGCAGACAUUCUUUCACGGCUUUCUGUGAAAACUCUGAUGCAAAUGAAAUGUGUCUGCAAAUCAUGGAAAACCCUGAUCUCCGACGAUCCUUCCUUUGCCAAAUUGCAUCUUCAACGGUCGCCGCGGAACAGCCAGCUCUUACUACUUCCGCAAUGGAACAGCCCAGACGAAGACUUUGAUUGCAGUGUCGUACCCUUUCCUGUAAGUCAUCUGGUAGAAACUCCGAGUGAAUUUCGCUAUCCAUAUUAUCGAUUGAGGAAUAUCACCAUUCCCAAUGAUCCAUACUACCAAUUGGGGAAUAUGGAUUGCUCUCACAUCGUUGGUUCCUGCAAUGGAUUGAUCUGCAUGCACACUAGUUGGUACCCUAAUCAUAGCAUUUGGUUCCGUUUAUGGAACCCAGCCACAAAGACACUAUCUGAAAAAUUAGGUCAUAUAACUGAACUUUUCCGUUUCACAUUUGGUUAUGAUAAUUUGACUGACACUUAUAAGGUGGUGGCCUUCACGGCCAACAAGGUGAAGGUUUUCAGUUUCAGGGAUAAUGUUUGGAGAGAUAUUCAAAGUUUUCCUGUUGUGCCUUUUGACCUUCAUCCCCGACAACAACUCGGUUGUCAUCAAUAUAAUAAUCGUGGUGUAUAUGUGAGUGGCGCUAUUAACUGGUUGGCUAUUCGAAAUAAGAUAGAAUAUGAAUGGAAUGAUAUCACCGUCGAUCAAUUUGUGAUUGUGUCUCUUGAUCUGGCUACGGAGACUUAUCGACAGUUGCUCCCACCUAGUGGUUUUGUUGAAGUACCACCUGUUGAACCAUCGGUUACUGUAUUGAUGGAUUGUCUAUGUUUUUCUCACCGUUUCAAGGAAACCCAUUUUGUUUUAUGGAAGAUGAUGGAAUUUGGAGUUCAAGAGUCUUGGACUCAAUUCCUCAAAAUUAGUUUUCAGAAUCUUCAAAUUGAUUAUGGCAUUAGUAAUUCGCUAGCAUAUGAUUCUCAAUUGUUCCUACUUCCAUUGUGGGCUUCUGAGAGUAGCAACACACUGAUAAUGGCAAGCAAUCAAGAAGGCUAUGCUGAUGAAAGCUUAUUCAAACCUCAGCAUGCAAUUGUCUAUAAUUGGAGAGAUAAUAUAGUAGAGCAAAUUAAAACUAACAAUGAAAUUAUGUGGAUGUUUUCCCAUGAUUAUGUUGAAAGCUUGGUUUCAACACGUUGAAACUAGAAGCCGAUCCUCCCAAAAGGAAAUUUAAUGACUCUUGAAUGAUCUUUAUUUGGACCACACCGUCAACUUCAAGCACAUCUGGCGUUAUUCAUGGUUGAUGGUAGGAUAGUAGGAAGAAAGGAAAAAAGAGUCUCAUUGGAGCUACAUUUUCGUUAGUUUUAGUACUAAUUUUGUUUAAGACAUUUAUAGCCGUCUUUUAUUGCCUCUUUUGUACCUCUUUGAAAGCAUUUGUAGUAAUUUACCCCAAAAUAUGUGUUGUUUUGCAACUCUACUCUUUGUGUAAGGGCCAGUGGGAAGUCUCUAACUCUUCAAUAGAAAUAUUUCUGUUGCUGCAUAAAAUAUGCUUAAUAUUAUUUCCGUAAUCUAUGGUUGGAUGAUCUUCCUUGA